CGCCCGUCAAUCACGCUGCGUGCCCCCUCUCCUUUCCUUCCGUGUUUCCCACCUGCAGGCCGCAUCGCCGUCCCGUACGUAGCCCCUGCUCCGUGCCCAGCCGACGCUAUGUCCACGCCGCCGCUCCCCUCCCCCGUCCAUGCUCCCGUACGUCGCUCCCUCCCCCAGCGUCGCAGAUCCGCGUCGCACGUGGGACCGCUCCCCCGUUCCCGGCCGCCGUCCCCGGCCGCCGGCUGCUGUCCGCGCCUCCGUUGCUCCGUGCCCAGCCGCCAUCCGCGCCGCCGUUUGCUGGAGCUGAACUGCAGCUGGUGGAGGCAAGGGCUUGAGGAUCCAGAGAGGUGCAUCUCGGAGCGGAGGAGGACGGGGUGGGGCGGAUCUGGCGCAGGAGGCGUCCUAGCCAUCGUCCAUGCCGUCCUAGCCGCGCCGGCCCGACCGCCGAUCCGCUUCCCCGGCUCCGCACCGUCCGCGCUGUCCCGGCGGAUCCGCGACGCCCGGCGACGAUCCACGCCCAGCCGCCGCUCCGUUCCCGGCUCCGCGCCGUCCUCACCCCCCGGCCGUCGCCUCCCCAUCCCAACACGGUGUCACCCGUCCUGCACCUCCUCGCCAAAGACGCCUCAUGCGCUGCCUCCCCAUCCUCGACGCGCCACCGGGCAAUGUCAUUCAGUCAUUCUUCAUGAAUGCCACGAGGAGGAUCGAUCCGGAGCAUCCUCGUUCUACUCUGGAUGCCGUGCUCGUGGCGCGGCUCUGCUCCUUGCCCCCCUCCCCCCGGUGUGCGCUACGGGCUGAGGGCGGGCACGCGCUCCUAAUACCUGGCUCUCCUGCUCGCCGCCGUUCUUCCUUGGUUGUUGAUCUACGGGAUGUGCUAAUCGAUCUGUGUGUUGUGUGUGACAGCGCGUGCACGUGGGUGGGUGCAGGCCAACGCGAUGCGGAGCCCGCAAGAGAAGAACAUACCCCUGGAGAACAUGAUCUAGAGGAUGUGGAACCUCGCCAGGAAGAAGAAGAGGUUCAGUUCAGAUAAUAUUCCUGAUCUUAUCUAUCUGAGAUAGCAUGGGGUGUGGAAGGGCAGGUGCUGAGCGAUCCAGCACAACCUGCAGUGUAUGAUGAGAUCCAUGGGUACACAACAACAGCAAUAAACCCUUUCUUUGAUGACUGCACCCAAGGAUCAAGUGUUCGUUGAUGAGUUUACCUGCAUUGGUAUAUUGAUAGCUCUGCUAGGAAUAUAAGCUUUGCUUUUGGUUCAUGAGUAGCACGAUUCAUUUAUUUAUGUGGAUGCAACGGUACAGAGUGUAAAACUGUGCCAAUAUCUGCCCUAAUGUCUUUCAAGUCGAGGAAGAUUUUUGGAUGUCAAGGGUCUACUCCCAGUUGGGUAGCACUGAACUAAUCUAGGAUGCCAUUGAUAGUUGCCCUGUCGGCUGUAUCCAGUGGACUUCUGCAGCACAACUGUCACUCCUUGAGAAGAUGCGUAGAGUAGAGAGGGUGAAUGUUGGUUUGAUGCUUGCUGGUAUGGGAGCUUCAGUCGAUGUUUUCUGAAUGGCAAGAGCUCGCUCAAAAGAGAGGCAGGCAAAAGUCUUGCAUUGGAAAAAGUCAGAAAACGGAUGGUGAACCAAGAUAAUUCAGACACAGGCAGGUCUUGGAGUGAUGUCUGGGGAUCCCCACCACGAGAUCAAAACAAUGGGUGUACAAACUUGAGUUGGUAUUUUUCAUCCGGAAAUUGAUUGGUAUGUAUGUCUUGGCAAUUGGAAGCAUCAACAGACUUCAAGAAACAAAGCAUGCUAUUGCCUGUCCGAGGACUCGAGCGCCACAGUGCAGGCCACGGUGAGCAAGUCAUCGGGUUCGGUCUCGGUCAUGUCGAUCACGUCGGCGCGGAAGCAUGCUAUUGUUUAGCUAGCUUCUUGCAGGGUCUGAGAGGACUUUAUGCGGGCUUUUAUCCUGCAGUUCUUGAAUCAACUAUUUUUUUUUGUAAGUUAUAAUAGAGCUAAACAAAGAUACUUACAGAGGAAGGAUGACCAGCUUCAUUCGGUCUAACAUCUCAUCUCAGCUACAGAAGCAGUUUCUUUGGUUUAGGCGUCCUUGUUUACAAGUCCCAUAUGGCUGGUGAAGACAAGACUUCAACUCCAAACACCUAAACAUCAUACUUCAGGAUAUUAUGUUGUUUCUGCCUUCAUAAUCUGGAGAGUUGAGGCGACGUGGCCAAUGGAGGCCAGGUGAAGAGGACGAGGCCAUCAACGGGGGAGAAGAGGUGGCCGGAGCGAGCGCCGCUGACUUGGUGGGAGGCUGCGGCGGUGACGGCGAGGACGGUGGGGUUCGUGUUGAUGAGGAGCUCAUUGACGGGGAACCCUAGCGAGAUCGCGAUGAGCAGAGGUGGAGAACAGAGUAUUAUAGGUGCAUAAACAAUGAUGCGUUACAAGACAUUGACCAUUAAGAGUUUGAUUUUGUUGGUAGUUGAUGGCCAGUUCAUAAAAAUCUUCUGCCAGUUUAACUUAUAUUAUUGUAGUGUGUUUGAACCGCCAAGACAGUAUUAUAUCAUGUUGUAUGAUUAUCUAUAUAAUUAUCUCCUAAUUAGCCACA